CCUACGGGAGGCAGCAGUGAGGAAUAUUGGUCAAUUGCCGGAAGGCUGAACCAGCCAUGCCGCGUGAAGGUCAGUGCCCUAUGGGCGUUAAACUUCUUUUGUGCGGGAGCAAUAAUGGUCACGUGUGGCCAGACGAGAGUACCGUACGAAUAAGCAUCGGCUAACUCCGUGCCAGCAGCCGCGGUAAUACGGGGGGUGCAAGCGUUAUCCGGAUUUAUUGGGUUUAAAGGGUGCGUAGGCUGUGAGGUAAGUCAGCGGUGAAAUGCCCCCGCUCAACGGGGUGAAGUGCCAUUGAUACUGGCUGGCUGGAAUGCGGAUGCCGUGGGAAGAAUGUGUGGUGUAGCGGUGAAAUGCAUAGAGAUCACACAGAACACCGAUUGCGAAGGCAUCUCACGAAUCCGCGAUUGACGCUGAUGCACGAAAGCGUGGGUAUCAAACAGGAUUAGAUACCCUUGUAGUC
rnacentral:rRNA from 1 species